rnacentral:tRNA from 1 species
AUUUACAUAAUUUAAUAUAAAAAGAAUUUUGCGUUGAAGUUGCAAAGGUGGCAAUAGUGUCUGUAAAUA